AAAUUUAACACUGGAUAGGGAUUGAAAUGGGUGUAAAAAUUUUUUACACCCAUUUCAAUCCCUAUCCAGUGUUAAAU
rnacentral:pre_miRNA from 1 species